rnacentral:rRNA from 1 species
UUGAACGCUGGCGGAAUGCUUUACACAUGCAAGUCGAACGGCAGCACGGGGGCAACCUUGGUGGCGAGUGGCGAACGGGUGAGUAAUACCUAGGAACAUGUCCAGUAAUGGGGGAUAACGCAGCGAAAGCUGUGCUAAUACCGCAUACGCCCUGAGGGGGAAAGCGGGGGACCUUCGGGCCUCGCGCGAUUGGAGCGGCUGAUGUCGGAUUAGCUGGUUGGUGGGGUAAAGGCCUACCAAGGCGACGAUCCGUAGCUGGUCUGAGAGGAUGAUCAGCCACACUGGGACUGAGACACGGCCCAGACUCCUACGGGAGGCAGCAGUGGGGAAUUUUGGACAAUGGGCGCAAGCCUGAUCCAGCCAUGCCGCGUGAGUGAAGAAGGCCUUCGGGUUGUAAAGCUCUUUCAGACGGAAAGAAAUCGGGCGGGUGAAUAGCCUGCCUGGAUGACGGUACUGUCAGAAGAAGCACCGGCUAACUACGU